rnacentral:rRNA from 1 species
GUGGGGAAUUUUGGACAAUGGGGGCAACCCUGAUCCAGCAAUGCCGCGUGUGCGAAGAAGGCCUUCGGGUUGUAAAGCACUUUUAUCGGGGAAGAAAUCCUGCGGGCUAAUAUCCUGCGGGGAUGACGGUACCCGAGGAAUAAGCACCGGCUAACUACGUGCCAGCAGCCGCGGUAAUACGUAGGGUGCGAGCGUUAAUCGGAAUUACUGGGCGUAAAGCGUGCGCAGGCGGUUUCGUAAGACAGAUGUGAAAUCCCCGGGCUUAACCUGGGAACUGCAUUUGUGACUGCGAGGCUAGAGUGUGUCAGAGGGAGGUGGAAUUCCGCGUGUAGCAGUGAAAUGCGUAGAGAUGCGGAGGAACACCGAUGGCGAAGGCAGCCUCCUGGGAUAACACUGACGCUCAGGCACGAAAGCGUGGGGAGCAAACAGGAUUAGAUACCCUUGUAGUCC